GACGAACGCUGGCGGCGUGCUUAACACAUGCAAGUCGAACGGACAGGCCCUGCUGUUGUGGGGUGCUCGAGUGGCGAACGGGUGAGUAACAGGUGAGUAACCUGACCUUGCCUUUGGGAUAACUUCAGGAAACUGGGGCUAAUACCGGCUAGGAGCUCCUGCUGCAUGGUGGGGGUUGGAAAGUUUCGGCGGUUGGGGAUGGACUCGCGGCCUAUCAGCUUGUCGGUGGGGUAGUGGCUUACCAAGGCUAUGACGGGUAGCCGGCCUGAGAGGGUGACCGGCCACAGUGGGAUUGAGAUGCGGCCCGUAGUGCUACGGGGGGCAGCAGUGGAGAAUUGUGCACAAUGGGCGGAAGCCUGAUGCAGCAACGCCGCGUGCUAGAGGACUGCCGUCGGGUUGGAAACCGUGUUCGCCUGUGACGAAGCGUGAGUGACGGUAAUGUGUAAAGAAGCACCGGCUAACUACGUG
rnacentral:rRNA from 1 species